CAAGGGAUGGUGUCCCUGUGCUGGUGGAAAUGGCUUUGUGGCAGCAUGAUGGAGAAGUGCUGUCACCUUACAGCAAAGCCUUGCCUUUGGGGGACGCUUCUGGAGCCUCAUCAUCGAUUCCCAGGAACAUGGCAGAGCUCAGGAUUUGAAAUGCAGAAGCAGAAAGGAUUUGAAAUGCAGAAGCAGAAGGGAGCAGCAGGCGCUCGGAGCCCUCUCACUGCUGGGAACCAGUUCAGCAAACAGGAUUUUCCAGCUAAACGCUGCGGGCUCUUUGAACCCCGGCGAUUUUUGCUUUUUGUCUCCCGAGGGAGGAUGAGGAACACCUUGUUCUGGGUAAGUGUCACCCUUUGUUCU
ensembl:lncRNA